rnacentral:rRNA from 1 species
CAGCCGCCGCGGUAAAACGGAGGGUGCAAGCGUUAAUCGGAAUUACUGGGCGUAAAGCGCACGCAGGCGGUUUGUUAAGUCAGAUGUGAAAUCCCCGAGCUUAACUUGGGAACUGCAUUUGUAACUGGCAAGCUAGAGUCUUGUAGAGGGGGGUAGAAUUCCAGGUGUAGCGGUGAAAUGCGUAGAGAUCUGGAGGAAUACCGGUGGCGAAGGCGGCCCCCUGGACAAAGACUGACGCCCAGGUGCGAAAGCGUGGGGAGCAAACAGGAUUAGAUACCCCAGUAGUCCCUGUCUCUUAUAC